UUAGUACUCUCUCCGUCUUAAAAUUCUUGUCUUAGGUUUGUCUAGACAUGGAUAUAUUUAGUCAUGUUUUAGUAUUUAGAUAUACAUCCAUUUAUGGACAGACCUAAUAUAAGAACCUUAGGACGAAGAGAGUAUAUA
rfam:Hordeum vulgare subsp. vulgare, WGS project CAJW01000000 data, contig: morex_contig_39404